GCCCCAGUAGCUCAGUGGUAGAGCGCCUGUCUCGUAAACAGGAGGUCGAGGGUUCAACUCCCUCUUGGGGCU
rnacentral:tRNA from 1 species